rnacentral:pre_miRNA from 1 species
AAUGAAGUUACUGGAUCAUAUGGUAAGAGUAUGUUUAAUUUUGUAGGAAACUGUCAGAGUGUCUUCCAAAGUGGCUGUACCAUUUUACAUUGCCACCAGCAGU